UGAGGAAUAUUGGUCAAUGGGCGAGAGCCUGAACCAGCCAAGUCGCGUGAAGGACGAAGGUAUUAUGUAUUGUAAACUUCUUUUGUCAGAGAAUAAAGACGAUCUCGUGAGAUUGGUUGCAUGUAUCUGACGAAUAAGGAUCGGCUAACUCCGUGCCAGCAGCCGCGGUAAUACGGAGGAUCCGAGCGUUAUCCGGAUUUAUUGGGUUUAAAGGGUGCGUAGGCGGAUGUUUAAGUCAGUGGUGAAAGUUUGGGGCUCAACCUUAAAAUUGCCAUUGAAACUGGAUGUCUUGAGUACAGUAGAGGUAGGCGGAAUUCGUGGUGUAGCGGUGAAAUGCAUAGAUAUCACGAAGAACUCCGAUUGCGAAGGCAGCUUACUGGAGUGUAACUGACGCUGAUGCACGAAAGUGUGGGGAUCAAACA
rnacentral:rRNA from 1 species